CAACUAGACUCCGCAGAGACUCAAGCUUAACAGCGCAUGACCAGAAAGCUGCCGUUUCAGCUCAGGCUUUGUUUACAUGUUCAGGGACAUAAGUCUAAAUGAUUCAUAAGAGAACUGGAGCCACAUCGGACGGCUGACAGAAACAUUAUGAGCGUUCGCUCUGUGAUCCAGUGGUGAGGCUGAUAGUAUCUCUUUCAUUUCCUCCGCACAAUGCCCUGAAAACAGAAGCCCCGCAGAGAACUGGGGCCUGUGUUCCGUUCUGAUAACCUUGAAGGGGAGAUGGAAGAAAUCAUUUACUUUCAUAAGGAUAUGUGCGCUCGAGUCCCGUCUUGCUGCGUGAGUGGGCAAAAUGGAUUUGAGGAUUUUUUAUUCCACCUGUGCUCUUGCUCUAACUAUUUCAGCAUGCCUUCAUGUCUUCCAGAGGUUUUUAUGCACUGUUAAGAAGCCGGUAUUACUCAAGAUGUUAAAUAUUCAUCCAGAUGUGAAACACCAAAGUUGUCAAGGGCAAGGAAUUUUAUUUUUUUGAUACACUGCAUUUUUUUUAUGAUUCAAGUUGACUAAAUGGAUUGGGUGUAAAAAAAAAAAAAAAAAAAAAAAAAAACGAGUUUCAGAGAAAAGGAAGGCAGCUGUACAAUCACGCAAACAGAGAGAACAAAAACUACCUUUAUUUACGGUUGUAUGUGAAUUUCACUUUCUUGCUCUCGCACGUUUUCUAACCUUCUUUCGUCUCUUUUUCUUUGAUCUUUUCACCUUCUGAGGAAUUCUGGAUUUCUUUUGAAAGCCUGAAAAUGGAUGCCCGAGAGGAUGAGGAUACAUCUUUGAGGUAUAACACAACCGAGGUGUGAAAGUCAAGGGCACAGAAAUUCAUAGAUGUAACACACCUAAAAUAGAACAGCUUUUAAAAACCAGCCAUGAACACAUGAAAUGGAAACUGACAUGAGACUAUACAGCAUUCUGCUGCUCCUUGAUAAAUUAUUUCUUGACGUCUGGCACUGGGAAUCAGAGAUAUCCUUGAAAAAAUAACAACUGGUGUCAUUUUUCUGUUCUUCAAAUGAAGAGCUUUAUUCUGGUGUCUGCUACACAAGCGUGUUGCCUUUUUACGAUUUACAACUUCAAGUGCAGCCCAUUCCACUUCCUACUUUUGAAACAAAUCCAGAAGAUUACAGCAGACACACAUCCCAAGUAGAAGGUCUGCUGAGAAGGAACUGCUGAUAUACUGUACCAGUACCACAUUACCGUGCUCAUUGUUUCGCUUUCUUCUCUUGUUCAUGAUGGAGGAUUAAGCAGUGUCUUUACAUGGGUGCCAGGCUCUUAGCAAACAAACCAUUCACAAAUGGAAAAUGCAAUCGGGCAAAUACUGUUAGCAGACAAAAGGAACAGGGUGCACGUCUGCAGACACGGAAAAGCCAUUUCAGUUUGCUUGUCAGAGCACAUAAGGUUUCACAAAAGCAUAGUUAAAGUCCAAAAGUAGCAGAUGUGUUUUCCACCACAAAGUCUCGGAUUCGGUGCGCGGAACAAAAAGGAGCGAAGAAUGGUGUUUGGAUUUGGAGCAAAAAGCUAUUCUCUGUAGAAUUCCACCCGGACCCACUGAGAGAUGUGACUUUACCUCCAUUCUCAAAAUUAGAGUUGCCAAGUAAAGCGUAACUAAAUGAAUAGAGUUUUAUGCCAGUUUUUAGCACUAUUUUUUUUUCCAGCAAAAUGCAUCAACAUUGACAAUUGUAUUUUGCAGCCAAAUUUCAUUAGUAUUUUAACUACAAUAUAAAUAUACAAUAGAAAAGCUAUACAUUUAAUAGAAAACAUGCUAUACGAGCAAUAUAUAUAUUUGUAAACUAACAGCAAAUCAGCAUAUCAGAGUGAUUUCUGAAGGACCAUGUGACACUAAAGACUGGAGGAAUGAUGCUGAAAAUACAUUUUUGCAUCACAAGAAUAAAUGACAGCUUAAUAUAUAUAUCGAUACAGGAAAUAGUUAUUUUAAAUUCCAAUUAUAUUUUACUGUAUUCUUCAUCAAAUAACUUGGUGAGCUAAAAACAAACCAAAAAACAAACACUGAACUCUUAACCUACCCUAAAUCCGAGCAUUUCUCAACAAUUUUAAAAACA